UCAGAGGUUUCACUCAGUGCAAGGGCUGGAGCCUGGAGGGGGACCGUGGAGAAGGGAGAAGCUGAAUCUUCCAUGGUCAUGUUUUGGGAGUGGUGUCUUGGGAUCCAAACGUGAUAAUGGAGAAAGCAAUGUUGAGAACCAUCCCCACAGGAAAGAAUGAAAACGGCCCGCAGGCCCGUGGAGACUCUUGGAAGCCGCGGUUCUAGUACAAACAGCAGCCAGCAGGUACCACGGCACUGACAGUGACCAGGCGGGACGGAGGACUGCACCAUCAGAGCCACCAGGAUGGCUGGGAGUCAGUGGCAAGUCCUGCACACAUGAGUGGCCUCCAGUCAUCCCUACAAGCUGGUCCGGAUACCACUGCCCUAAUCCGAAGGAAGGCCUUAAAAUGAAAAGCAUCCUCCCCGUGGGGGGAGGAUUUUUCUGAAGGUGGACUUUUGCAUCUUCAGUAAGGAAUUCUGCCACGUGGUCAGCCUCCUUCCCCCACAUGCCCUUUCCCCUCCCCCUCCCCCCACCCCUUUGCCGGACUCCCCGCCCCGCCGCUUUCCAGUGUGUCUGCCGCCUGCACUCAGCUUUUUGGAAUUCAGUGGGUGGCAGGGGUUUUCUCCUCUGUUUCAUGCACUCGGCCAUUCAGGAAGGGAAAAAGUAUGAUCUCUGACACUUGCUUUUUGUGAACAUUUUGAUGAAAAGACAAAUGAGAGUCACAAAUCUUAAGGAAGAUGGUAGAGGAGCUGUGGAAGUCACCUUAUUUCUCACCAGCAGCAGCUCCUCUCUCAGACCAUCCCCAAAACGCUGGCACGUAUCCAACAGCCCGAUUUGGAGAGGAUCCUAGUUAUUCAAGCCCCGAAUACAAACUGUUUGAAAAUGGAGCUCACACCAUGCACGUGAAUAUUUCGCCUCCUCUUAGCUGAUUCCAUCAGCAUGGAUACCAUUAUUCCUACAAUUGCAUGAAUAAUUUAUUUCACCAUUGUAAAAGUUUAAUAAAAGUUUUCUUGUCUUUAUCAAA